AACUCGUUAUAAGAUAACAUUUUUUGUGGUGUUGGCGUGGAUCGUAGUAGCGCCAUGGACAAGUUUGUAAAAAUAACGGCAACUGCAUUGGACGACGUUGGAAAUAACGAAGAAGACAUCAUAUCUAGUCCCAAGCGACCCAAAAAGGACCUCGCUAAAACCUAAAAUCAACAAAAACAGCUUCCUAUCAGAUCUCAAUUAAAAAUUUAAGCCGCAAACAAAUUUUUGUAUUUUUUAUGUCGAUAAUCGAUUAUAAUCGAUGUCUUCGCCCUAAAACAUCGAAAACAUCGAUGGUGGCAAACAUCGAUGUUUUUCCA